GGACACAUGGCAUCGAGUUCGCCUAGGGCCUCCCGAAACACAGGGCCGGCCCUGCACGGGUGCUGCCCAGUAUGAAGUUUGGUUUGGUGAUGCUGGAAAAGGCACAGAUAAAGGUUUUUGUCUCGCUAAAGAUAUGCACAACGACCUUCGCGUCUUUCUCCCGCUGGAUUUACCCGAGAGGGCUGUGGCUCUUGCUCUUGCUGUGUCUCUGGACCAUGACUGCUUCUCCAGGAGAUUGGGCUGGGUUCUUCGUCUUUUAGGAGCAUGAGGGAAUUGCAGAAAACACUGCUGUUGGGGCAGACCUAGAAAUGGUAGUCACUGGAAUUCAAGGGAUCAAAGUAUCAUGGUAUAGCCACACUGGAGGGGAUGACUAAUUCGUGC